rnacentral:rRNA from 1 species
CGUCUAGGCGGAUCGGUAAGUCGGCUGUGAAAUCCCUCGGCUCAACCGAGGACGUGCAUCCGAUACUGCCAGUCUUGAGGGCGAGAGGGGAGAGUGGAACUCCUGGUGGAGCGGUGAAAUGCGUAGAUAUCAGGAGGAACGCCGGUGGCGAAAGCGACUCUCUGGCUCGUCCCUGACGCUGAAGCGCGAAAGCUAGGGGAGCGAACG